rnacentral:rRNA from 1 species
AUCUCCUCGGGGCGCAUCAGUGAGGAAUAUUGGUCAAUGGGCGGGAGCCUGAACCAGCCAAGCCGCGUGAGGGAAGAAGGUACAGCGUAUCGUAAACCUCUUUUGUCAGGGAACAAAGGCGGGGACUAGUCCCCGGAUGAGGGUACCUGAAGAAAAGGCAUCGGCUAACUCCGUGCCAGCAGCCGCGGUAAUACGGAGGAUGCGAGCGUUAUCCGGAUUUAUUGGGUUUAAAGGGUGCGCAGGCGGCCUGUUAAGUCAGCAGUAAAAGCCCGGGGCUCAACCCCGGCGAGCCGUUGAAACUGGCG